rnacentral:lncRNA from 1 species
GGACGCGCUUCUCCUGCUCCCCCGUCAGAGCCCCGAGAGGCUGUUUGAGGUUUGGGUUCGUGGGUUCCCCUCCAGGUGAGAAACCUCCUUAGGGACCGGAGCUGCGUCUCCGCUAAGUCCCUGUACACUCCCCUGCCGUCGUUCGGGGACAGCCGUCCGCACCCGUGUUUCUGCACUGAGUGUCUGCCUAGGACGCCGCACCUCGCUCUGCCCUCGGCCCCAGAGGACGGGUCCGUGUAGGGCUGGUCCCUCCCGCAGGCGCCAGGUGCUUUCCAGGGCCUCGGGGAACAGGCGCCGCGCCCAGGGGUCUUCCUGUUAGGUGCCAGGGCCUGGAGGUGCCUCCCCGGCGCCCCGCGGCUGGUCUGUGUCUCCACCCCCGAGGUUGGACAGUUUCUGCGGACUUUCUGCAAGUGCGCUUCGGAGGACAAGUUCUUAAGUCUCAGGACCCGGCGUUUGCAACGCUGUGUUCCUGGUCUGGCUGCCUCCUGUCCUGAGACACCGGCCGGCCUCGGCGGCCCCAUCCCGUCGGAGUCCUUCCCUUCCAGACGAGAGCGAAGUUUAUGCGGGGCUGGAGUUUUCUCCGAGAACGUGCGACACGUGGAGUGGACCUUUCUGAGGAGAAGGAGAGUGUGUCUGCCUCGCGGAAGUGUAGGGGCCGUUUAGGUGUGUGUCGCUGUGAGCAGAGGGGAAAGUCUCCGGAGACUGGGGUAACCAGAGCCCAUGAUUACGUGAGAGCCUGCUGAGUGAUCUUAAUAGUAUCCUGAAGCUCCCUGAACGUUUUACUGGCCUUCACUCCGCCACUAAGAGAUUCCGAACCUGCCGCCCCUUCUCGGACCACCUCAGCAGGGGAUGCGCUUCGACCAAGACUGGCAAAGCCAGUAAGUACCAGCGAGCCUGUGCGCCGACGUCCUGCAGCGGACCCCCUACUCGGCAUUCUGAGUACCGGCCCUGCGAUGUCUUCGUCGUGGAGAACGCGCCGUGAGACUGAGAAGAAACCCAGCCGCUUUAUGUGAUCCGAGUUUAGGUGUCGGCAUAGAUUAGUUCGUUAUCCGCAGCGCUG